CACAAAGGUCCUGGGAGGUCUCCCUUGGCAGCUAACUCUACCCACCAGGAAGAUCCAGUCACACACAAGCAGGGAGGGGAAAAGGGAAGGAUGAACAGGGUUGACUGGAGGAGACACUAGGAUGGGGCAAGACUACAAGUACAGCAUAAUUUCAAAAGCACAGAGCAACCAGAUGAGGGGGAGUGGCAGGGAUGUGCUUGGAAAGACUGGCAGGAGAGUAAGCUCCUGAAGGGACCUGAAUGCUAAGCUCAGGAGCUUGACCUUCAUCCUAAAAUAAAAGGCAGCCCAAAAAGCUUCUGGAGAGUGACUGAGCUGGGCUUUAUGAUUAUCUUGAUGGACUGGACACAGGGAGGUCAGGGUAGUUGAGCAUUAAUGGGACCCUAAAUGAGGGUAAAAAUGGAAAAAAGCAAAAGAAGACUCAUUUCAAAGAGAACUGACAGGACACAAGCAAAUUAGGAUGUUGGGGCUAGUGGUGGUGUGUGAAGAACAAGGAGUCAAGCGGAGGGGCUGUCAUGAACAGAGUGUGGUGGCAUGAUCAUGGCUCACUGCAGCCUCAGCCUCCUGGGCUCAAGUGAUCCUCCUGCCUCGGCCUCCCAAGCAGCUGGGACUACAGGAUCCUAGCCCUUCCUGGACUCCUGAUGCUUCAUCUAUGCAGGAGGGGUUGGAGAUUAAGGGCCUUCCCUGCCUUCUGGCCUCCACAGCACUCAACCCUAACUGCUCCCCCUUAAAUCAGAAAGUUCCAGCAGACAAGAGGCCCCUCAAAGAUCCCAUCCAUCAAUCACAGCCAUCUCGAGCUCCGUCCCUCAGCAAAUCUGUUCUAGCUAUAGCCUUCCAAGCAGCACUGGCAGCAGCAAGCACCUCCCCCAAAACACAGCCUGCUUCCUUUCCAUUACCGGGGGAAUUGCUCUCCCAGUAACAGGUCCUGUUCUGGGGUGCCAGUGCUACUCCCAGGGCCCUAGAGAGCCAAUUAAGGUGAGGAAACUGUUCAUGAACUAAAAAGCCACUCCACUGAUAGGGCUCCGGGCUCCAGCUUCUGCACCUGCUGCACACCCAGCUCAGCAGCCUGCCCUUCACCUGGGAGACUUGAGUCACUGCUCACAACAGACCUCACAAGGCUGGACACACUGCAGCACCUGGAAUGAGCAAAGAGUAGUCACCCACCUCCCAGGCUCCUAUAGCUGAGAUCUCACCCCCAGCCUCCCAUUCCCACCCAAGACCAUUAGAACACCUCCAGCUGAGCUGCUCAUUAAGAUAAGUGUCAUUUCCCUCUUUGACUCUAAGGUUGUAGCAUCUUGCAUCAGUUCCCUCUCUCUGGAUAUUCCUAAAGUCUCAAGGCCUGCCCACCGAGGGACCGUGAUUGCUCCUCCUUUCAGCAUUAAUAGUGUUCGGGGGAUGCUGUCACCCUUCACUAGCUUCAAGAAGCAUGGGGCUAUGGUAGUUCUUUGGUGUUCUUAAAUCUCAUUAUGUCUAGCCCUGAAAGCCAGAAAGGGCCUAGGAUUGCCCAGUCAAUUAGUGCUAGUGUCCAGGUGAGCUCUAGGGUCUGUGACUUCCAGCUGCAUCCCCAACUUUGAAAAUGAGAAAAAUAAGAUACUAAACAAGUAGAUUCUGAAAUCUGCAUCUCAGUAUCAAAGUCUUCCAGCCAUGAUUUGUUUUUUAAUUGAUUUGAAGAGAAACAAUAAGUAAUGUUCCUUUUCCUCACAUGGGGAAGGAAAUAUCCAAUUAAUUCCCUCUUCCCUUUCCUAAAAUGACAAAUAAAACCACAGCAACUCUGAGAACCUUGAAGACAGAGCCAGCAUAUGGUAAGAGUCAGUUUCAGGGAUGUUAGCUCCCUUCAGAGCUUGCUACAUUUACUUAAGGUAUCAUUUUGGUACUCAAUGGCCAACUUUCCAGAUAGAAUUUGACCUGGGACCAUUUUUAAUUAGCCAAAAAAGCAAAUAGCCCCACGUAGAUAUUCUCAUUGGCUGAGAAAAUCUAAUUCCAAUAGCUAGCAUUUGUGUACCCAGCCAUCCCACUGCAUGGCUAAGCCACUGUAUUCUCACCACACUCCUACCUUUGCUCUGGUCCCCAUCAUUAGCUUUUGAAGAUCUUGCCCAGCUGGUCUCCUCAGUACCUGAGAGGUGACGCAGACCCAUCUUCCUAGUUGCUGGGGAGAAUCUCAACUAGGCUGUGGCUGUAUUAAUUAAAGAUUUGCACUUGAUCCAGCAAUUCAAAUACUGAGUAUACAAUAGUCCCCCCCUUAUUCAUGGGGGAUACAUUCCAAGAUGCCUGAAACAGUGGAUAGUACCAAACCCUAUAUAUACUAUAUUUUUCCUAAGCAUACAUACCUAUGAUAAAGUUUAAUUUUUAAAUUAGGCACAGUAGGAGAUUAACAAUAACUAAUAAUAAAAUAGAACAAUUAUAAGAAUAUACUGUAAUAAAAGCAACAUGAAUGCAG